rnacentral:lncRNA from 1 species
UUCAACAACCAAAUCUGAAAACAAUUAAAACAUCCCGUCCCGAUGUUACAUCUACCAGAGCAUGACCCACUAAGGAACUACACUAGACUCCAAGGACUAGCUUCUACUCAAUCACUGCUCGUUACCUGAAAAAUAGUUGUAAGGGUGAGUUCCUCAAUCAAUAUAAUAAGCAUUAUAAAAUAUCAUGUAAUGCUAAGUAAUUUAACACAUAUCAUCACCCUAAUCAGAUCACACAUAUUCAGCAACGACAAU